rnacentral:rRNA from 1 species
UACGUAGGGUGCGAGCGUUAAUCGGAAUUACUGGGCGUAAAGCGUGCGCAGGCGGUUUUGUAAGCCAGAUGUGAAAUCCCCGGGCUUAACCUGGGAAUGGCAUUUGGGACUGCAAGGCUGGAGUUUGGCAGAGGAGACUGGAAUUCCUGGUGUAGCAGUGAAAUGCGUAGAUAUCAGGAGGAACACCGAUGGCGAAGGCAGGUCUCUGGGCUGAAACUGACGCUCAUGCACGAAAGCGUGGGGAGCGAACAGGA